UAGGGAAUCUUCGGCAAUGGACGAAAGUCUGACCGAGCAACGCCGCGUGAGUGAAGAAGGUUUUCGGAUCGUAAAACUCUGUUGUUAGAGAAGAACAAGGACGUUAGUAACUGAACGUCCCCUGACGGUAUCUAACCAGAAAGCCACGGCUAACUACGUGCCAGCAGCCGCGGUAAUGCGUAGGUGGCAAGCGUUGUCCGGAUUUAUUGGGCGUAAAGCGAGCGCAGGCGGUUUCUUAAGUCUGAUGUGAAAGCCCCCGGCUCAACCGGGGAGGGUCAUUGGAAACUGGGAGACUUGAGUGCAGAAGAGGAGAGUGGAAUUCCAUGUGUAGCGGUGAAAUGCGUAGAUAUAUGGAGGAACACGAGUGGCGAAGGCGGCUCUCUGGUCUGUAACUGACGCUGAGGAUCGAAAGCGUGGGGAGCAAACAGG
rnacentral:rRNA from 1 species